CGCCUGUUUAUCAAAAACAUCUUUUCUCGUUAGUUUUUGAAGUAUGGCCUGCCCACUGACUUUAAUGUUGAAGGGCCGCGGUAUUUUGACCGUGCAAAGGUAGCAUAGUCAUUAGUUCUUUAAUUGUGAUCUGGUAUGAAUGGCUUGACGAGGCAUGGGCUGUCUUAAUUUUGAAUUAUUUAUUGAAUUUGGUCUUUGAGUUAAAAUUCUUAGAUGUUUUUAUGGGACGAGAAGACCCUAUAGAGUUUAACAUUUAUUGUGGUCCCUUUCUGUUUGUGAGGGUUCACUGGGCCAUUUAAUAUGUUUUGUUGGGGUGAUGGGAGGGAUUUAUUUAACCCCUCCUUUAUAUUGUUAUAUUUAUUUAUAUUUACUUGAUCCAUUUAUUUUGAUUGUAAGAUUAAAUUACCUUAGGGAUAACAGCGUAA
rnacentral:rRNA from 1 species